GACAGAGGGUGCAACCGUUGUUCGGAAUUACUGGGCGUAAAGCGCGUGUAGGCGGCUCUGCAAGUCGGAUGUGAAAUCCCACGGCUCAACCAUGGAAGUGCAUUCGAAACUGCAGGGCUAGAGUCCUGGAGAGGAAGGUGGAAUGCUUGGUGUAGAGGUGAAAUUCGUAGAUAUCAGGCGGAACACCGGUGGCGAAGGCGGCCUUCUGGACAGUGACUGACGCUGAGACGCGAAAGCGUGGGGAGCAAACAGG
rnacentral:rRNA from 1 species